rnacentral:lncRNA from 1 species
GAUUUGUCAGUGAGCUAACAUGGGGGGAUUAAAAUGGAUGUGCAAUCAUGUUACCACAGAUCAUGAUCUAAAGAGGGCAAGUAGCUAGGAAGGAAGAGUCCCUUUUCCCCUGAUGCAGGAGAUGGGUUGCUUCCCUCAACUUCAAGCAACGGUAAAGUUCGCUCGAAAAUUUGUAACGAGAAAUUUAUAAGAGUCCCAUUUAGAUAGUAACGGCAAAGUUUGCUCAAAAAAUUUAUCAGAAUUCAUCGAAUUUUUCACCUGCUAAAGCAAGUAAUUGUGUGUGAAAGUACACUUUGAU